CGGGCUGGCUGGGACCUGGCUCCCAGCCUCUGAGCUCCACAGGUGCCCUCGCGCUUUUCUGGGUCAGCCUUAUGAUUCGGUGUCCGGGCACUUGGUAAAAUUUUGCAUAAGUUCCUCAGGGCUACAUUAUUCACACAGACACCCUGGGGAAGACGUUAGAAAACCUGAUGCCUCUUGUUCGUCAGCCGGUUGCUGCGCUUAGCACCACAGGCUGGAAUUUCAUCAGCCUGGGCUCCUUAAAAAUGUUUUGGUGACUGAACCUUCUUUUUUAUCUUCAAGCUGGCCCAACUUCUUUUUUGAAGGCAAGAAUUUGAUUGGAAGUUACUAUUCAACAGAAACCCGCCCCCAUCUAGACCUGCACUGUCAAAUAUGGUAGCCCCUGGCUGCAGUUGGAGAGCGCUGCUCUAGACCAUGCCUGCUGCAUUACGGUUCUCAGACGUGCCGUGUGGCUCCAUGCUACCUUCCUGUCGUCUGUCUUCCCUCUUUUCCCAUCAUGAGAAGCCUCUCGGGCUAAGCAAGGCUCUUGCCUUCGUCCAUCACUGCCUCUUGUGCACACAGCUUUGGGCAUUUCUGGGGCUGCUUGUCUGCCACUAGAUUGUGUGCUCCAAGGGAAGUCCGUGCCCAGAGCGGACAGCAUAGAGAGCUGGUUCCCCAGCACACCACUGAUUCUGAUGUAGGACCCCAGCCUAGCACAGGAAAAUGCUUUUGGGCAGAUCUUCUUUGGUGAUUCAGAAAUGAAAGGUGGACUUAUCCUGUGCAAAGUAGACUGUAUUAUUCAGAGAAAUGCUGCCUGUCACAGGGGAGAUAAGUGUCAGUGAGGCAUCUUGCACACUGAGUCUACUUCUCCUCACAUCAGCAUAUGCUCACCAGUGCCUUGCCAGUGCCUAACAGUGCCUGGCAUACAGUGGAGCUCAAAUGAAUGGUUGUUGAAUGGAUAAAGAAGUCAGUCUGCUGGGCCAUUUUGCAGCCACUAUUAGGCAAUGGAAAUAAUGGAAGCACUGGCUUGUAUGGAACCCCAGCCAGGCACAGGCUGCUCUUAUACCUCCAGGAUCAGGCAUUUGCUCUCCAGCUGAUGAACGAUGAUCUCACCACUACUCUGCAGGAAUGAAAUGAAGAUGGCAAGCGCCAUUACCCACAUUUCCAUUACCCUUGUGGAGAGUUCUUUGGUAGGAAAGCCACUUGAACCUGGCAGCAGGAGGACCUGGUGAAGGUGUCAGAGCAUUCUGCAGGCUGCUACUUGCCUUCUGCGAACUGGAAACCCUGCACUCCCCUUUGCCCCUCCCAGCCCUGCCUUAUCAAGUGGAAUCUUAGAAGAACUCCUGGCACCUCAGCAAACGUGGUGGUGGUGGUGGGGACACUCCAGGUAAACAAAAACUCUCCCUGCAAAGGGCUCUGGCUUGGAGGGAGGAGUUAGCCCCCAGCUCUGGCCUUAGGACAGUACAUCUUGCUCAAGCAUUUAAGGGGGAGUCAACCACCCUCCUACUGAAGGUCCCUCUACAUCCUUUAGGUGAAUCAUUGCCCUGGGGCACCCAUUUGAGGGAAGACCUAGGCCCCACAGGUGAAAUAGCAGCUGAGAAGUGAAGGGGUGGAGAUAUGCUUUGGAGCAGGGCCAAGGAAUGUGGGGGUGGGGUGGACACCAGCUCUUAGCCUGUUCUUCAUCAUCCAGAACAACCUUUCUCUGGAACCAGGCAGGAAGUCCCUCCUCAGAAGGCUGAG